GGUCCGGUAGCUCAGUUGGAUAGAGCAACGGCCUUCUAAGCCGUAGGUCGUGGGUUCGAACCCCGCCCGGAUCA
rnacentral:tRNA from 2 species